UGAGGAAUAUUGCGCAAUGGAGGAAACUCUGACGCAGCGACGCCGCGUGAAGGAUGAAGGCCCUCUGGGUUGUAAACUUCUGUAGAGAGGGAAGAAUUUCCCGUUUCGCGGGAUUGACGGUACCUCUAAAGUAAGGGUCGGCUAACUACGUGCCAGCAGCCGCGGUAAUACGUAGGACCCGAGCGUUGUCCGGAUUUACUGGGUGUAAAGGGAGCGCAGGCGGAUUUUCAAGUCGAUGGUGAAAUCUUGCGGCUCAACCGCAAAACUGCCGUCGAUACUGUUUAUCUUGAGUGUGGAAGAGAGUGGCGGAAUUCAUGGUGUAGCAGUGAAAUGCGUAGAUAUCAUGAAGAACACCGGUUGCGAAGGCGGCCACUUGGUCCAUUACUGACGCUCAUGCUCG
rnacentral:rRNA from 1 species